AGUGUUUGUCACCCCAGUCAUACUUGCAUCUCAUGUUGCAAGAUGGUGAUUGACAGACAAACUGGCGUAGGCCAAAGGGAAUUGAUUCUCGUGUAAGAAGGAAGUUCAAGGGAUGCACAUUUGAUACCCAACAUUGGUUAUGGUUCAGACAAGAAGACCCGUCAUUACCUUCCUAAUGGUUUCAAGAAAUUUGUUGUGCACUACGCCAAGGAGCUUGAGCUGCUGAUGAUGCACAACAGGUGAAGUGAAGGCAACCCUUACUAUAACUUGUUCAUUGUCCAUGUGGCUGUAUAUAUGCUUAUGUGCCUAUUGUUGUGUUUUCUUGCCUUUUCUGGACCUACUGUGCUGAGAUUGCCCACAAUGUGUCCACAAGGAAGAGGAAAGAGAUUGUGGAGAGAGCCGCCCAGCUUGGUGCUGUUGUGACCAACAAGCUUGCCAGGUUGCGUAGCCAGGAAGAGGAAUGAGAUUGAAAUUCAUAAUGUCUGUUGGAUUAUGUUUUGUAGUGAGCUUUUAUUAGCAUGUGCACAUUUAUGGGGUUUAAAUCAUGUUGAGCUCUCUUAUAGUCA